rnacentral:tRNA from 1 species
GAGGGUAUAGCUCAGGUGUAGAGCAUAUGCUUAGCAUGCACAAAGUCCUGGGUUCAAUCCAAUCCCAGUACCUCUG